AGAGUUUGAUCCUGGCUCAGAGCGAACGUUAGCGGCGGGCCUAACACAUGCAAGUCGAGCGAGAAAGUGGCUUCGGCCAUCAGUAAAGCGGCGGACGGGUGAGUAACACGUAGGUAAUCUUCCCUUGAGCGGGGGACAACGUUUCGAAAGGAACGCUAAUACCGCAUACGUUUCCAGGGACUCCGGUCCCUGGAAGGAAAGCUAGGUCGCAAGAUCCGGCACUCGAGGAGGAGCCUGCGUCGCAUCAGCUAGUUGGUGGGGUAACGGCCUACCAAGGCGAAGACGCGUAGCUGGUCUGAGAGGAUGAUCAGCCACACUGGGACUGAGACACGGCCCAGACUCCUACGGGAGGCAGCAGUGGGGAAUAUUGGACAAUGGGCGCAAGCCUGAUCCAGCCACGCCGCGUGAGUGAUGAAGGCCUUCGGGUCGUAAAGCUCUGUGGGGAGGGACGAACCGCUGCUGGUGCAUAUCCAGCAGCAUGACGGUACCUCCUUAGCAAGCACCGGCUAACUUCGUGCCAGCCGCCGCGGUAAUUC
rnacentral:rRNA from 1 species